UGGGGAAUUUUGGACAAUGGGCGAAAGCCUGAUCCAGCAAUGCCGCGUGUGUGAAGAAGGCCUUCGGGUUGUAAAGCACUUUUGUCCGGAAAGAAAUCCUUGGCUCUAAUACAGUCGGGGGAUGACGGUACCGGAAGAAUAAGCACCGGCUAACUACGUGCCAGCAGCCGCGGUAAUACGUAGGGUGCAAGCGUUAAUCGGAAUUACUGGGCGUAAAGCGUGCGCAGGCGGUUUGCUAAGACCGAUGUGAAAUCCCCGGGCUCAACCUGGGAACUGCAUUGGUGACUGGCAGGCUAGAGUAUGGCAGAGGGGGGUAGAAUUCCACGUGUAGCAGUGAAAUGCGUAGAGAUGUGGAGGAAUACCGAUGGCGAAGGCAGCCCCCUGGGCCAAUACUGACGCUCAUGCACGAAAAGCGUGGGGAGCAAAACAGGAUUAGAUACCCUGGUAGUCCACGCCCUAAAACGAUGUCAACUAGUUGUUGGGGAUUCAUUUCCUUAGUAACGUAGCUAACGCGUGAAGUUGACCGCCUGGGGAGUACGGUCGCAAGAUUAAAACUCAAAGGAAUUGACGGGGUCAUAGCUGUUUCCU
rnacentral:rRNA from 1 species